UUUUAUCUAUGUAGUCUUAUUUGUGGUCAAUGAAGAUAAAAAAAAGAACCCUGAAAGAUUACUUAGCAAAUAGUUGAAAAUUUUAAGAUUAUAACUAUUUGAACAUUUGGUACACUGGUUAAAGUAAGGACUUUGCUUUUGUUACUGAAGAUAUUCAUAGUAAGAAGCCUUACUGAAGAGAUUAAUAUUAAGGAGACCAAGGCGAAAUCACUAGAAAUUUGAAGAAUUAAGCAAAAGUAGUAUUUUUUUUUGAUCGGGACAAAGAAAUCUCACACUUGGAAAGCCUGAUCAAGAAAGAAAAAGGGAUCAGAUAAGAAUUUGUUACUGCUAUCAAGUCACUCUUGAUGAAGGAAGAAGAUAAGUUGGGCCUUAAAAUUGGGUUAAGUCAAUGCCCGUUUCUUUUUUUUAAUCAAUUGGUCAAAGACCAGUUAUAUGUCUCUUUCAAUAACCAAAUAACUGGCUUGCAGCUGCAGGCUAUUUAGGGCUUCAAUUCUAUUUUAUUCCCAAUGGGUCACGUUCUUGCUGCUAUCAUUCGCAGCAUUAUUGUUUUUUCUGUGCUAUGCUUCUCUGUUAUUUACUGAUUUUAACACACUCUCUCUCUGAUAGACUAUUCAUAUGUAUAGAUAAAUUGAAAAUUAUGAAAGUAAUGAAAAUGAUGACGAUC